rnacentral:rRNA from 1 species
CCUACGGGUGGCUGCAGUGAGGAAUAUUGGUCAAUGGCCGAGAGGCUGAACCAGCCAAGUCGCGUGAGGGAAGAAUGUCCUAUGGAUUGUAAACCUCUUUUGUCAGGGAGCAAGGUCACCCACGUGUGGGUGUUUGAGAGUACCUUAAGAACAAGCAUCGGCUAACUCCGUGCCAGCAGCCGCGGUAAUACGGAGGAUGCGAGCGUUAUCCGGAUUUAUUGGGUUUAAAGGGUGCGUAGGCGGGUUAUCAAGUCAGCGGUAAAAUCGUGGAGCUCAACUCCAUCCAGCCGUUGAAACUGAUGAUCUGGAGUGGGCUAGAAGUAGGCGGAAUGCGUGGUGUAGCGGUGAAAUGCAUAGAUAUCACGAAGAACUCCGAUUGCGAAGGCAGCAUACCGGAGCGCGACUGACGCUGAAGCACGAAAGUGUGGGUAUCGAACAGGAUUAGAUACCCGGGUAGUC